UACGUAGGGCGCAAGCGUUGUCCGGAAUUAUUGGGCGUAAAGGGCUCGUAGGCGGCUCAGUAAGUCGGGUGUGAAACCUCCAGGCUCAACCUGGAGACGCCACUCGAUACUGCUGUGGCUAGAGUCCGGUGGGGGAGCAUGGAAUUCCUGGUGUAGCGGUGAAAUGCGCAGAUAUCAGGAGGAACACCAGUGGCGAAGGCGGUGCUCUGGGCCGGAACUGACGCUGAUGAGCGAAAGCGUGGGGAGCAAACAGG
rnacentral:rRNA from 1 species